AAUGGGGGCAACCCUGAUCCAGCAAUGCCGCGUGUGUGAAGAAGGCCUUAGGGUUGUAUAGCACUUUCAUUAGUGAGGAAAGGCUGUUAUUGAAAAGAUAAUAGCUAUGACGUUAGCUAAAGAAGAAGCACCGGCUAACUCUGUGCCAGCAGCCGCGGUAAUACAGAGGGUGCGAGCGUUAAUCGGAAUUACUGGGCGUAAAGGGCGCGUAGGUGGAAAGUUAAGUUGGAUGUGAAAGCCCUGGGCUCAACCCAGGAAGGUCAUCCAAAACUGGCUAUCUAGAGUACAGUAGAGGGAAGUGGAAUUCCAGGUGUAGCGGUGAAAUGCGUAGAUAUCUGGAGGAACAUCAGUGGCGAAGGCGACUUUCUGGACUGAUACUGACACUGAGGCGCGAAAGCGUGGGUAGCGAACAGGAUU
rnacentral:rRNA from 1 species